AUUGAACGCUGGCGGCAGGCCUAACACAUGCAAGUCGAGCGGAGCGGCGCACGGGUGAGUAAUGCCUAGGAAUCUGCCUGGUAGUGGGGGAUAACGUCCGGAAACGGUCGCUAAUACCGCAUACUCUCAGAUCCGCCUAGGUCGGAUUCGCUAGUUGGUGGGGUAACGGCCUACCAAGGCGACGAUCCGUAACUGGUCUGAGAGGAUGAUCAGUCACACUGGAACUGAGACAGGGUCCAGACUCCUACGUGAUGCAGCAGUGGGGAAGAGUGGACAAUGGGGGAAAGCCUGAUCAAGCCAUGCAGCGUGUGUGAAGAAGGGCUUCGGAUUGUAAAGCACUUUAGGUUGGGAGGCGGUACCAACAGAAUAAGCACCGGCUAACUUCGUGCCAGCAGCCGCGGUAAUAC
rnacentral:rRNA from 1 species